rnacentral:rRNA from 1 species
UACGGAGGGACUAGCGUUGUUCGGAAUUACUGGGCGUAAAGCGCACGUAGGCGGAUUUGUAAGUCAGGGGUGAAAUCCCGGGGCUCAACCUCGGAACUGCCUUUGAUACUGCAAAUCUCGAGUCCGGAAGAGGUGAGUGGAAUUCCUAGUGUAGAGGUGAAAUUCGUAGAUAUUAGGAAGAACACCAGUGGCGGAAGGCGGCUCACUGGUCCGGUACUGACGCUGAGGUGCGAAAGCGUGGGGAGCAAACAGG